rnacentral:rRNA from 1 species
UACGUAGGGUGCGAGCGUUGUCCGGAUUUAUUGGGCGUAAAGAGCUCGUAGGCGGUUUGUCGCGUCGGCCGUGAAAUCUCCACGCUUAACGUGGAGCGUGCGGUCGAUACGGGCAGACUUGAGUUCGGUAGGGGAGACUGGAAUUCCUGGUGUAGCGGUGAAAUGCGCAGAUAUCAGGAGGAACACCGGUGGCGAAGGCGGUUCUCUGGGCAUUACCUGACGCUGAGGAGCGAAAGCAUGGGGAGCAAACAGG